ACAUUUCCAUAUACAAUACGGCACACGAAAACAAAACAUUUCGAAUACAGGUUAAUGAGAGAAAUUAAUGACACUGGUGUCAGGGCGGCUAGGUGGUCUAGUGGAGUAAGUCUCCGGCAAAGCAUCUCUAGAUACCAGGUUUGGUUCCUGGCUCCGUCGUUAAUUUUUCAAAUUUACAAUCUUUCGA